AGCUGCCGGCAAAUGCAGGCCAGUCUCGACACUGGUCGCCUUGCACUUGGGAACGGUGAGGUCAGCCCAACCCGGCGCCGGGUGAGAGAAGUCUGCCUAUGAGCAUAAAUCUCAAAAAAAAAAGAGCAAGCAAUUUUCCUUUCAAAACAAGCUUACAAGCAAAAGUCUGAUAGGAAAAGUACAGACAAAGGGGAAAAAGAUAGAUAAUAAAGUUGAAAUGGCUCAUUGGUCAAUAUUGUUAAACUGUUAUUCAAAUAAAACAUGAAGAUAUUCAUCUCUUACCAGCUUCCCCAGGGUCAUCCUCAUUCACGAGGACAGCACUCUUUGUGACAUCUUCUGCUGCACUAUAAUCUAAGUU